rnacentral:rRNA from 1 species
CCUACGGGAGGCAGCAGUGAGGAAUAUUGGACAAUGGGCGCAAGCCUGAUCCAGCCAUGCCGCGUGCAGGAAGAAGCAUCUAUGGUGUGUAAACUGCUUUUGUACAGGAAGAAACACUCCCUCGUGAGGGAGCUUGACGGUACUGUAAGAAUAAGGACCGGCUAACUCCGUGCCAGCAGCCGCGGUAAUACGGAGGGUCCGAGCGUUAUCCGGAAUCAUUGGGUUUAAAGGGUCCGUAGGCGGUUUAAUAAGUCAGUGGUGAAAUCUGGUCGCUCAACGAUCAAACGGCCAUUGAUACUGUUAGACUUGAAUUAUAAGGAAGUAACUAGAAUAUGUAGUGUAGCGGUGAAAUGCUUAGAUAUUACAUGGAAUACCAAUUGCGAAGGCAGGUUACUACUUAUGGAUUGACGCUGAUGGACGAAAGCGUGGGGAGCGAACAGGAUUAGAUACCCUGGUAGUCCACGACCGUAACGAUAGAUACUAGUCUGUUCGGUA